rnacentral:rRNA from 1 species
AGAGUUUGAUCCUGGCUCAGAACGAACGCUGGCGGCAGGCCUCAAACAUGCAAGUCUAGGGGGUGUAGCAAUACAUCACCGGCGGACGGGUGCGUAACGCGUGGGAAUAUACCUUUUGGUUCGGAACAACUGAGGGAAACUUCAGCUAAUACCGAAUGUGCCCUAACGGGGAAAGAUUUAUCGCCAAAGGAUUAGCCCGCGUAGGAUUAGCUAGUUGGUGAGGUAAUGGCUCACCAAGGCUCCGAUCCUUAGCUGUUCUGAGAGGAAGAUCAGCCACACUGGGACUGAGACACGGCCCAGACUCCUACGGGAGGCAGCAGUUGGGAAUCUUGGACAAUGGGGGAAACCCUGAUCCAGCCAUGCCGCGUGAGUGAUGAAGGCCUUCGGGUUGUAAAACUCUUUCGACGGGGACGAUAAUGACGGUACCCGUAGAAGAAGCUCCGGCUAACUUCGUGCCAGCAGCCGCGGUAAUACGAAGGGGGCUAGCGUUGUUCGGAAUUACUGGGCGUAAAGCGCGCGCAGGCGGUCUUCCAAGUCAGUGGUGAAAGCCCGGAGCUCAACUCCGGAACUGCCAUUGAAACUGUAAGACUUGAGGACGAGAGAGGUGAGUGGAAUUCCCAGUGUAGAGGUGAAAUUCGUAGAUAUUGGGAAGAACACCGGUGGCGAAGGCGGCUCACUGGCUCGUUUCUGACGCUCAGGCGCGACAGCGUGGGGAUCAAACAGGAUUAGAUACCCUAGUAGUCC